UGGGAUUCGCCUGCGUAAAGAAUGGGAUGUGACAGAUGAAUGAUGGGGGAGUCCCCUGGGUGACAUUAGCACAGUCCUAUGGGCAUUAUGGCACCGUCCCCUGGUAACCCGAUAGGCGCUAGCCUUCAUUGGUUGUUUACUGUCAGUUCAACACACAGUAAUCAGCAUCAGUAGCCAACUGAAGUUAGAUGAAUCCUACAUUAACCCUGUGAUGGACCAACUGAAGGGCAGGACGGAAGCUUACGCACGGGCGAAGGUGGACCAGUGCAUGAAGGUCCGGAUCGGUCAGCACUGAUGCCAAGGAACAGUAUUACAUCCAGUGGAACCAGAAGAACCACAUCCUCCGCAAAAGGCAAAGCAGUCAGUCUGAAGUCCACAACCUGGAGAUUCCCCUUCUCACCAAGACACGAACGUGGUUGUCAACCAGCAGGAUGGAGGCUCGUCACGGCGGCGCGUGUCCACAGUCCCUCUGGCACACUGAAGCGUGGAGCCGCCCUCUUUCACUCGUCUUCAUUCAUGGUGGAUGGUUAUUGUCUGAUUAUGAAUACAGCUGGCAGCCUGCGCGCGUGUCAUUAUCCACUAUGCCCAGGCUAUACACGGCGUGCCAGCUGGCCAUAUCUUAUCUUAUCUGACUCUACCUUCUCCUGCACUGUGCGCUGCCAGAUACAUUAGCCCAGGCUGAUUUGGUGCUUAUGAAACCCC
rnacentral:lncRNA from 1 species